UCCGCUCCCUUGGGCCUUUCCUCGGUCCGUUCCCCAUCCCCGCGGGCCGGUGCUGCUCAGCCCGCAACCGGGGGCAAGGCCGGCUUCUCGCCGGCCCCCGGGGCGCGCUGGGGGGUCCCCGAUCCUCCCGGCCUCGGCGAGGCAGCAGUCGCCGAAACUCAGAGGAGCCGCCCGGCUGCGCUUCCUCUGCCUGCGGCACGGGCACCCCCACAGCGCCGAGCACCGGCCUCCGGGCCCGGCACCGCCCCGCCGGCCGGCCCCUUCACCGGCCACCCGCCCCACCCGCGGCCUCGGCCGUCUCCAGGGCGCCGGGCUCAGUAGCUUACUUCAGAUGGCUGAGAAAACAACCAGAGGCCCGCAGGAUGUCCCCGGCUCGUCUCCUGAUGAAAAUGAAUUUCCUUUUGGAUACCCCACUAACAUUUGUGAGGAUGUGCCUGAUCAGAAAUACCUGUGCAGCAACUGCAAUAACAUUCUGAAGAAGGCCCUGCAGACGCUCUGUGGGCACAGGUACUGCUCAGCCUGCCUCGCCUGGAUUGCACGAAACAAUAAAAAUGCAAUUUGCCAGAAGUGUAAAGAGGAAGAUCCCAGCACUUUCAGUGAGGGAAGCCUGUUGGCAGAGGAAAGGGCAUUUGGCGAUGCUGCUAUUAAUAAAGAGAUUUCUGAACUGAGAGUACACUGUGUGACCCUGGGGUGCAGCUGGUCUGGUAUCAUGAAAAACUUUGAAGAGCAUCAGAGCUUAUGUGAAUAUGCUUUAAUCCCUUGUCACACUGGUUGUGGACAUGUGGUGAUGAGAAAGAAACUUGCAGAUCAUUUGGAAAAUGGAUGUGUUAAUAACGUGACAACGUGUCAGAGGUGUAAGCAGAGCUUAUCCAGUAGUGAAUACCAAGAACAUUCAUGUGAAAGCAGUUUAUGUAAGGAACAAAGCCAUGUGCAAACAGAAACCCCAUCAAGAGAAAAGAACUGCUCCACACCCUCAGUUAACAAGGAUGGAUGUCGCUUUUCUGAGGUCGGCUGUUCGUUUAGGGGAAGCACAGAGAAGAUAAAGGAUCAUGAAAGAACCGCAGUUGGGGCCCACAUGCUGCUUCUCCUCCAGCACAUAAAGCAACUGAAGGCAAGCUUGUGCACUGCUGCCAAAGCUGCAAAUGGUUUCAUCCCACAGACAGAGCUGAAUGUGAAUGGUGCAGGAAAAAGCAUCCCCAAUCCGCAGAUCCUAGCGGGGCUGGAAAUCCGUGAGGAUCUGGAAGAAGACUGUUUUCCUGGAUCUUCCAUUUCUGAAGAGGAAUCUGUUCUGCAGCAACUUGUGAGGGAGAAAGUGAUUUCUGAGCUAGAAAAUAAGCUGCAAGUGUUUGAGAAUAUUGUGGCAGUGCUCAAUAAAGAGGUGGAGAUCUCUAGCUUGGAAAUCAUGGCCUUUCGGAGGCAAAGUGAACUUGAUCAAAAUAUAAUACGAGGCCUUGAACUGAAGAUUGCAGAGUUGCACCGGUGCCUGACACAGAAGGACGCAGGCCUGAGCAGCCUGCAUAAGAGUCUUCUGUUCUCUGAGCAAGCUUCCUAUGAUGGGAUCUUUCUGUGGAAAAUAACAGAUGUUGGCAGGAAGCUACAAGACUCUGUGACUGGAAGAACAGUCAGUUUGUUUUCACCAGCUUUCUACACUGCAAAGUACGGCUACAAGGUCUGUCUGAGGGUGUAUCUGAAUGGGGAUGGGACGGGAAAAGGAACCCACAUGUCCCUGUUCUUUGUUGUCAUGAAAGGAGACUACGAUGCUUUGCUCCCAUGGCCUUUCAGGAACAAGGUUACAUUCAUGUUGCUUGACCAAAACAAUAGGGAACAUAUUAUUGAUGCGUUUCGCCCAGACUUGACUUCUGCUUCAUUUCAGAGACCAGUGAAUGAUAUGAAUAUUGCAAGUGGCUGUCCCAUGUUCCUCCCUUUGUUCAAAUUACAGUCACCUAAAUAUGCCUAUGUGAAGGAAGACACACUUUUCCUUAAAUGCAUUGUAGAAACAAAUCAGUAAAUCUUGGAACAUGGGUGUCUGGUAAAACACUCACCGAAUUUCAUUCGUUUACAAGAAAACCAAAACAUCAGCUUGAGACCUUGUAUUAGUUUUCGUGUGCACGCAAAAUCAGAGAGCCCAAGCCUGAAUCCCUGAAUCCAUUCACAUCAGCUGAACAUCUGCCUGCUAGAGUUAGCUACAGCUGAGCAUGCCCAGUACUUUGCCCAUGGAUAUUGGAAAUGAGAACUGUGAUUAUUUCAUCAAACCAACCAAUACUCCCAGUGUAGAUGUAUGUUACAGUCACACACACACCCCUGCGGAUGCACUUGUGGAAAGAGGCACUGUUCUUUCUCACACCUGGCCCAGAUGUGGGUGUUAUUCUGCUGAGGUGCUGGGCAGGGAGAGCAGCCAGAGCUCCCUUCUAGGACCCUGGGGUUAGGAGGUUUCGGAAGCUGAGCCUUCCCCAUCCUCCUCUGGCUGUGCAGCUCCAUUCCCAGGAGGCACGGUGCCGGCUGGCAGCCCUGGUGCAGGAUUCUGGCUGUUCCCCCCCAGGGACACGGGCAGAUUCCUUCCCCUGAGGCACCGAUCGGGUGUCUCUGUGCUUAUUGGUGACCUUGAAAGCAGUGAGUUGUGGAUAGCGUCUGUAACUGGAGUUGAUACCGGAUGAUUUAUGUCUUGCUAUUUAUUUUAGAUCUAUAUUUAUAUGCUCUGUAAAGAGAUGUUCUAUUGCAUCAGCAAUCGGUGACCACAUUGCACUGUGCCUUGGGGAAAUCACCUCUUGUAUUUCCAAAGGAGUCGAUUGAGUUUCCCAUUUCAGAUACGGAGCUCUGAGGGUUGUUAACCCCUGGGAAGUUCAGAGCCCAACUAAGCAGUGUAAGGACUUCUCACUAGCUCCAUUUUCAAGUGUUCAGUCACUUCCUGAACCUUCAAGGCAAGUGACUUAGUAGAAAAUACUGAUUAUUUCUUUUUAUUAUUGCUUAAUUCUUUUUAUGUGCUCUGAUGCCUAAUUCUUGUCAACGCUAAAACAGAACUACUAGACAUGGUUUUGUCUUUAAUUAUUAUUUUAAAUAGAGGUAAGGAAUGAAUAAUUUAAUUUUUUUUUUUUUUUAUAAGCAAAUUGAGCUUGGAAGUCAUGCUUGGGCUGCACCAAAAGGAGUGUGUCCAACAGGUCACGGGAGGGGACUCUCCCCCUCUACUCUGCUGUGGUGAGACCCUCCUGCAGUCCAGUGUCCAGCUCUGGAAACAGGCUGAGAGAGCUGGGGGUGUUCAGCCUGGAGAAGAGAAGGCUCCUUAAGGGGAGACCUUAGAGCAGCUCCAGUGCCUAAAGGGGGUACCGGAAACCUGGAGAGGGGCUUUGGACAAGGGCCUGUAGGGACAGGACAAGGGGAAUGGCUUUAACCUGCCAGAGGGGAGAUUGAGAUGAGCUCUUAGGCAGAAGCUCUUCCCUGUGAGGGUGCUGAGGCGCUGGCACAGGGUGCCCAGAGAAGCUGUGGCUGCCCCAUCCCUGGCAGUGUUCAAGGCCAGGUUGGACACAGGGGCUUGGAGCAACCUGCUCUAGUGGAAGGUGUCCCUGCCCGUGGCAGGGGUUGGAGCUGGAUGAGCUUUAAGGUCCCUUCCAACCCAAACCAUUUAUGAGUCCAUAAAGAACUUACCCUUCUCAAACAACCUGGCUACUGCCAGAGUAAAUAGAGGUACAGUACAAUCAAGGUCCCUUCCAACCCAAACCAGUCUGGGAUCUGAGACCCCGAGUCUCUCUCAGUUUCUCUCUUCCAUGUUUAAACUGUUGUUUCAGGGACAGAAAGUUAUUUUUCCAGUAACGUGCCAAUCCCCAUAACCACACUGGGGUAGCAUGCCUAAAAUUAUUAUGCUUUUCAUGGCCGUGUAAUUUUGACAAGUGCUGUAUUUAUUACAACCAUUCAUUUUUUCUUACAAUUUUAUUUAUUUCCUAAAUAAAGCUUACUAACUUAAAAAACAAAUAAGUUUUUGUGUUAUUUUCACUGUAAACCAGGGAAUUGAGCAACUUGGAGAUAGGACAACAGUGGUUUGCUGUAGGAAGAGCUGCACAGUGCUGCAACACUCGCUUAUUCCUACUGCAGGAGCAGGUUUAUGCAGCGUGGGGCUGAGCACUGCCCAGUGCUCCAGAAACAACCAGUCCCUGUCCUGAAAAGCCAAUAGUGCCAACAGCAGCCAAGGUGCUUGGAAUGAAGAGCCUCAUCUGUGGUCCCAUGGGAAAUCACUGGAAACUUUGGAAAUGAACCCUAAAGCAUCUCAAUGUCACUGCUGCUUUGCCUCUGGAGACAGGAUUUCACUGAUGGCAGGAGCCCGGUGUUGCUGCAGGCAGGAGGUCACAUCACACAGGAGCACCACAAGCUUCAGGGAGGCAGAAGCAUUGACACUGGAUGAAUAAAUACCCUGGAGAAAGGACACCACUGUGCCCGCCCUGCCUGGUAAAAAUCAAUUUUAAAUGUUUAUUGGAAGCCCUUUAGUUCCAGUUUUCCUUCUAGCCAGACAUUCUCAGUGGGGAAAUCCGUGAAGUGAAAUGAGAGGAAAGCUGCAAGGCUGCAGUUUGCAGGACCUUGUGCUUGGCGUCCUGCAGCAGAGGUGCCUCUGCUUCAGUACAGCGUCACCCGGAGCCAGGUUUUGGGAUGACUCAGGCCUGGAUGGCCUGAGUCUGCAGA